AGCACUGUGUGGAAUCUGCAGCCAGCUGUGUGACUUCGGCUGGUUUGUUUAAAAGUCAGUGCAAGAGAAACUCGACAUGUGGCAUCGAUGGUCUCCUUGCCGGGUUGUGCUUGGAGUCCUGGUACAUCUGUCGAAACACAU
ensembl:snoRNA small nucleolar RNA SNORA8